CUUGAACGCUGGCGGCAGGCCUAACACAUGCAAGUCGAGCGAGCGGCGGACGGGUGAGUAAUGUAUGGGGACUGCCCGAUAGAGGGGGAUAACUACUGGAAACGGUGGCUAAUACCGCAUACUAUCGGAUAACCCAUAUGGGAUUAGCUAGUAGGUGGGGUAACGGCUCACCUAGGCGACGAUCCCUAGCGGGUCUGAGAGGAUGCUCAGCAACAAUGGGACGGAGACACGGCCCAGACUCCUACGGAGGCAGCAGUGGGGAAUAUUGCAAAAUGGGCGCAAGACUGAUGCAGCCAUGCCGCGUGUAUGAAGAAGGCCUUAGGGUUGUAAAGUACUUUCAGCGAGGAGGCGUUACCCGCAGAAGAAGCACCGGCUAACUCCGUGCCAGCAGCAGCGGUAAUAC
rnacentral:rRNA from 1 species